GAGUUUGAUCAUGGCUCACGACGAACGCUGGCGGCGUGCUUAACACAUGCAAGUCGAACGAACUCGGACUUCGGUCCACAUGAGUGAGUGGCGAACGGGUGAGUAACACGUGAGAAACCUGCCCCGAAGUUUGGAAUAACUCAGGGAAACUUGAGCUAAUACCAAAUGCCCUCCUCCGAUCGAGUGAUCGGUUGAGGAAAGAUUCAUCGCUUCGGGAGGGUCUCGCGGCCUAUCAGUUUGUUGGUGAGGUAACGGCUCACCAAGACAUCGACGGGUAGCUGGUCUGAGAGGACGAUCAGCCACACUGGGACUGAGACACGGCCCAGACUCCUACGGGAGGCAGCAGUGGGGAAUCUUGCACAAUGGGCGAAAGCCUGAUGCAGCGACGCCGCGUGGGGGAUGAAGGCCCUAGGGUCGUAAACCCCUUUCAGCAGGGACGAAAAUGACGGUACCUGCAGAAGA
rnacentral:rRNA from 1 species